AACGCAUAUUGCACUUUUCUAGUUUACUAGAAAAGUAUGUCUGUUUGAGUAUCAGUAAAAUAUUCUCAUAAAAACUAUUUGUUUUUAUGGUUAUGAGUGUUUUACAACGAUACAAGUUGUUUCACUUUAAAUUUUUUUUUUAAAAUUUGAAAUUUUUUCUAAUUUUAAUAUAAAAUUGGAUAAAAUUUUCCCGUAAAAAAGGAAUAACCUAAACAAUUUUAUAACUAUUAGAAAUUUUCAAAAUAAAAAGGAAAAUUUAUUAAAAUAACUUGAUCUCAAAUCAGAUAAGAGUACCCGCUGAACUUAA
rnacentral:misc_RNA from 1 species